CAAAUUAGAAGUUUCGUGCUUCGUGCCGGACAAACGUACAUCCUCUUUUUUUUACAAACCAUCAUUCAACUAUUGUAUUUAUGUUAAGAAGAAUGCAAUGAAUACCUAAUAAUAUGUAAUAAUAAAAAUACUAGAAAUAUAUAGUAUUUUUAUUCCGGACACAUAACGUUUACCUGAUCAGGACCUUGUUCAAUUUCCAUAUUAGGAACGGAUACGGCAGACAUGAUCCGGUCCAAACUUGUAAAAUGCGUUACACCCCUUAUCUGGGCCGAAUUUGGUUUGCCAAAUCAGGACCGAAUGUCAGAGCCGGCAUGCCUUACUCGGCCCUAACUUUUACCAAACACAAUUUCCACCCGGGUUUACGUUGCUAUUGUAUCGUAAGAUAUAUUCGUCCCGUUUGUAUAAUACUUGUAAUAAUAACGUAUUUGAAUAUAUGUUGCAACCCAUAUUAUUAAAAACACUUAAAAAAUAUUAUUAAAAACAUUAAAAAAACAGGAUAAAUAUAUGUUACAAUCCAAUACAUCAUUACGUGAUUAUCACGUUUUCUCGUAUCAGUAGUCCCGGCGCCGUGGUGGCCUAGCACGAUGCACGCGAGUGCACCUGUUCGAUUGCCUUUUUUUUAUUAUACACCAAGCGUAUCUGCCCGCUGAUUUAUCGCGAAUGAUCAACGUCUUUGAUCGUUAAGAAAGAUAUUCGCGGAGAAGAUAUUCACGGUUUCGAGUGUCGAUAUCUAUCAUCGAUCAAAUUACGGUUGAUUAAUGUAUUUCCUAUGUUGCUGUAAUAAAAGUUGAUACGUAACGUACCGAUGCGAUAUGAUGAUAAUAGUUUUAUUAGCGAAUCUAGCACAUUUAAGUUAGCUUUUCACAUGGAGAAAAAACGCAAAGAUAGCGAAUAAUAUUAAAAUAUAUUUUUACGAAAAUGCUGUUGCCAGAAUUGCUAACAUAAAUAACGUACACAAUACACAAUACGUAAAAUAUGGCAUAAUAUAAAAAUGCAUAGAUAGGAUCGAACAUUUCUCCAAGUCUUUGUUACAUUAAAUUACAUCACAGAAGGAUGAUUCGCCUUCGUAACUUUGUUCUUUGUCUUCGUCGACUUUGGUGGAUAUCGCAUGUUAUUUUUCGAGGAUCCUAAGUAUACGGUAAAAUCAGAGACCGUGGCAAGGUUAAUGAGUUGGCCGUGAGGCGAAUCGCGUUUCACGUUUAGGCGGAGGGAGCCACGCCGCGUGCGAUUACGCAUGGUGCGAUGUGACUCACAGUUGUAGCCAUCCAUCGCUCAUUCGGCGCCGUCCGAGGAAGAGGAGAACGCGAAGGAACAACGUCUCCGUCGGUCGGAAGUACCGGAAGGGCCGACAGCUGUGGCGGCAUGACUCACGCGAGUGCACCGCUGGCAUACGUUAUUAAAGCGCUCAAUGGAGUGUCGUCUUGCUUUCUAUUGUGUGCACAGUGUGUCGUCUCACAGUAGAUGAAAUCAAUGGACAGGGACCACGAAACAGAAAAAGAAGCCGUGCAGCAGUGAGAGAUAAGACAAUAAGAAAUUGAAAGAAAUUUCACGUGAAGCUCAUAACGCGUGAAAUGGGAGUUCAGAAUUUAAAGGAAGAAAGAAGAAGAAUGAAAUUGCGAGGAAGAAAGCGCAGCUGAAAAAACGAGGGACCUUAGAUUAGCGAGCGACGAUUUCAUCCUCAGGAAACGAGUCAGCCAUCUUUUUAAGGGAAGCACGUGCCAGCUCAUCGAUUCGUAAUUGCCAGCUUGACGCCAGACGACAUAUGACAAGCGCCGGAUGUAACAAAGAACGUGCCCUAUGCCAGCCCUCCGUUCUAUCGACACCGCACCGCGGUUAACCCUUUUAAACCUUAAGCCUUUAUAUUUAACUUUGUCUCAAUAUUUUGUCCCUUUAAUAAAGUUUUCUUGUGAAUC
rnacentral:lncRNA from 1 species